UGGGGAAUAUUGCACAAUGGGCGAAAGCCUGAUGCAGCAACGCCGCGUGAGUGAUGAAGGUCUUCGGAUUUGUAAAGCUCUGUCUUUUGGGACGAUAAUGACGGUACCAAAGGAGGAAGCCACGGCUAACUACGUGCCAGCAGCCGCGGUAAUACGUAGGUGGCGAGCGUUGUCCGGAUUUACUGGGCGUAAAGGGUGCGUAGGCGGAUGUUUAAGUGAGAUGUGAAAUACCCGGGCUUAACUUGGGUGCUGCAUUUCAAACUGGAUAUCUAGAGUGCAGGAGAGGAGAAUGGAAUUCCUAGUGUAGCGGUGAAAUGCGUAGAGAUUAGGAAGAACACCAGUGGCGAAGGCGAUUCUCUGGACUGUAACUGACGCUGAGGCACGAAAGCGUGGGUAGCAAACAGGAUUAGAUACCCUGGUAGUCCACGCCGUAAACGAUGAGUACUAGGUGUAGGAGGUAUCGACCCCUUCUGUGCCGCAGUAAACACAUUAAGUACUCCGCCUGGGAAGUACCGAUCGCAAG
rnacentral:rRNA from 1 species